rnacentral:rRNA from 1 species
GAUGAACGCUGGCGGCGUGCUUAACACAUGCAAGUCGAACGGUAAGGCCCUUCGGGGUACACGAGUGGCGAACGGGUGAGUAACACGUGGGUGAUCUGCCCUGCACUUCGGGAUAAGCCAGGGAAACUGGGUCUAAUACCGGAUAGGACAAUCGUUUAGUGUCGGUUGUGGAAAGUUUUUUCGGUUAGGGAUGAGCCCGCGGCCUAUCAGCUUGUUGGUGGGGUAAUGGCCUACCAAGGCGUCGACGGGUAGCCGGCCUGAGAGGGUGGACGGCCACAUGUGGACUGACAUACGACCCGGACUCCGACGGGAGGCAGCAGUGGGGAAUAGUGCACAAUGGGCGCAAGCCUGAUGCAGCGACGCUGCGUGGGGGAGGACGCCCUUCGGGUUGUAAACCUCUUUCGACAGGGACGAAGCUUUGGUGACGGUACCUGUAUAAGAAGCACCGGCUAACUACGUGCCAGCAGCCGCCGUAA